GCCAGUAUGGUAUAGUGGUUUGAACCUUGGACUAUAACUCUGAUGAUCAGGGUUCAAAUCCCCACUCAGCCA